rnacentral:rRNA from 1 species
AUACGGAGGAUGCAAGCGUUAUCCGGAAUCAUUGGGUUUAAAGGGUCCGUAGGUGGAUCGGUCAGUCAGAGGUGAAAUCCUGCAGCUCAACUGUAGAACUGCCUUUGAUACUGCCGGUCUUGAAUUACUGUGAAGUGGUUAGAAUAUGUAGUGUAGCGGUGAAAUGCAUAGAUAUUACAUAGAAUACCGAUUGCGAAGGCAGAUCACUAACAGUAUAUUGACACUGAUGGACGAAAGCGUGGGGAGCGAACGGGAUUAGAUACCCCGGUAGUCCACGCCGUAAACGAUGGUCACUAGCUGUUCGGACUUCGGUCUGAGUGGCUAAGCGAAAGUGAUAAGUGACCCACCUGGGGAGUACGUUCGCAAGAAUGAAACUCAAAGGAAUUGACGGGGGCCCGCACAAGCGGUGGAGCAUGUGGUUUAAUUCGAUGAUACGCGAGGAACCUUACCAGGGCUUAAAUGUAGAUUGCAUUAGUUGGAGACAGCUAUUUCUUCGGACC